GAUGAACGCUGGCGGCGUGCUUAACACAUGCAAGUCGAACGGAAAGGCCCAAGCUUGCUUGGGUACUCGAGUGGCGAACGGGUGAGUAACACGUGGGUGAUCUGCCCUGCACUUCGGGAUAAGCCUGGGAAACUGGGUCUAAUACCGGAUAGGACCACAUUUUGGAUGGUGUGGUGGAAAGUUUUUCGGUGUGGGAUGAGCUCGCGGCCUAUCAGCUUGUUGGUGGGGUAAUGGCCUACCAAGGCGUCGACGGGUAGCCGGCCUGAGAGGGUGUACGGCCACAGUGGGACUGAGAUACGGCCCAGACUCCUACGGGAGGCAGCAGUGGGGAAUAUUGCACAAUGGGCGCAAGCCUGAUGCAGCGACGCCGCGUGGGGGAUGAAGGCCUUCGGGUUGUAAACUCCUUUCGCUAGGGACGAAGCGUUUUUGUGACGGUACCUGGAGAAGAAGCACCGGCUAACUACGUG
rnacentral:rRNA from 1 species